GGGUCGUUAGCUUAGUUGGUAGAGCAGCGGACUCUUAAUCCGUUGGUCGAAGGUUCGAGUCCUUCACGACCCACCA
rnacentral:tRNA from 1 species